UUUGUACACACCGCCCGUCGCUACUACCGAAUGCUCGUGAUAGUCUUGCUUCCGGAUUGAUUAAUUGGAGAGGGCAACUUUUCUGGUUGAACGAGAAGAUGCUCGUCGUUGGUCAUUUAGAGGAAGUAAAAGUCGUAACAAGGUUUCCGUAGGUGAUGCUCGUGAUAGUUCAUUAAGAAUUAUAAUUAAUUGUGAAAAUUAUACAGCAAACAAUAAUUUUAUAGUCAAAACAAAAAAAAUGCUCGUGUUAUUAACAAUGGAUCUCUUGGUUCUCGUAUCGAUGAAGAAAUGCUCGUGAUAGUGCAUUUCUUGUGAAUUGCAGAAGUGAAUCAUCAGUUUUUGAACGCACAUUGCACUUUGGGGUAUCCCCCAAAGUAUAAUGCUGCUCGUAGUAGAUCUCUCUUGGAAUUGCAUUGCUUUUCUAAAAUAAUAUGCUCGUAGUAUUUGAAAAACAACACUAUUCAACCUCAGAUCAAGUAGGAUUACCCGCUGAACUUAAGCAUAUCAAUAAGCGGAGGAAAAGAAACCAACAGGGAUUGCCUUAUGCUCGUAGAUUGAAGCGGCAAAAGAUGCUCGCUGAUAGUAGCCUCCAGGUCGAGUUGUAAUUUGUAGAUUGUAUUUU
rnacentral:rRNA from 1 species